UUCUUUAAACCUAAAGAAUUUGGCGGUGUUUUAUUCUAUUCAGAGGAAUUUGUCCCGUUAUCGAUAAUCCCCGAUUUAUCUUGCUUUAUUUUGUUUAGUAUGUAUAUCGCCGUUAUGAGUUAAUUUUUUUAGAAUAAUUGACUUUAAAAUUUAUUUUUUUAUAUUUCAGGUCAAGGUGCAGUUUAUAAUAAAGUGGAGAUGAAUUACAAUAUAUGGAUAUAAACGGAUAUAAUUUUUAUAAUAUUAUUGAAGGUGGAUUUGAUAGUAAUUUUAAUUAUAUUAUUAUUUUGAUUAUUAGUUCUAAAAUGAGCACACAUCGCCCGUCGCUCUA
rnacentral:rRNA from 1 species